GACGAACGCUGGCGGCGUGCCUAAUACAUGCAAGUCGAGCGAAGUUUUUCUGGUGCUUGCACUAGAAAAACUUAGCGGCGAACGGGUGAGUAACACGUAAAGAACCUGCCUCAUAGACUGGGACAACUAUUGGAAACGAUAGCUAAUACCGGAUAACAGUAUUUCUCGCAUGAGAGAUAUUUAAAAGUUGGUUAUGCUAACACUAUGAGAUGGCUUUGCGGUGCAUUAGCUAGUUGGUGGGGUAAAGGCCCACCAAGGCGACGAUGCAUAGCCGACCUGAGAGGGUGAUCGGCCACACUGGGACUGGGACACGGCCCAGACUCCUACGGGAGGCAGCAGUAGGGAAUCUUCCGCAAUGGGCGAAAGCCUGACGGAGCAACGCCGCGUGAGUGAAGAAGGAUUUCGGUUCGUAAAGCUCUGUUGUUAGGGAAGAAUGGAUAUGUAGUAACUAUACAUAUAAGAGACGGUACCUAACCAGAAAGCCACGGCUAACUACGUGCCAGCAGCCGCGGUAAUACGUAGGUGGCAAGCGUUGUCCGGAAUUAUUGGGCGUAAAGCGCGCGCAGGUGGUUUAAUAAGUCUGAUGUGAAAGCCCACGGCUCAACCGUGGAGGGUCAUUGGAAACUGUUAAACUUGAGUGCAGGAGAGAAAAGUGGAAUUCCUAGUGUAGCGGUGAAAUGCGUAGAGAUUAGGAGGAACACCAGUGGCGAAGGCGGCUUUUUGGCCUGUAACUGACACUGAGGCGCGAAAGCGUGGGGAGCAAACAGG
rnacentral:rRNA from 1 species